rnacentral:misc_RNA from 1 species
GAUGAAGAACGUAGCGAAAUGCGAUAAGUAGUGUGAAUUGCAGAAUUCCGUGAAUCAUCGAAUCUUUGAACGCACAUUGCGCCUUCUGGUAUUCCGGAAGGCAUGCCUGUUCGAGAGUCAUUAACAACCGUUUCGAUCCCUUUCUUUCAGAAAUUACAAAGAGGAAAAGGGUUUGGUUAUGGUGGAGGAGGGAAAGGGAGCGUUUAGCCUGUAAAAAAAGAGGCUGUGUUCCGCCUCCCCCCCAAAAUUGUACAGGCGGUCGUGUGCGCCCACGCAUCGAGGUGUUGUAAAAGCUGCCACGGCACUUUUCACCUGUGCAGUGCGAGAUUGGCCAGCCGGUUUAAAAACCCCUCCAAACAAUCAAAGGUUGACCUCGGAUCAGGUAGGGAUACCCGCUGAACUUAAGAAUAUCAAUAAGCGGAGGA